rnacentral:rRNA from 1 species
UACGGGGGGGGCAAGCGUUGUUCGGAAUUACUGGGCGUAAAGGGCUUGUAGGUGGCCAACUAAGUCAGACGUGAAAUCCCUCGGCUUAACCGGGGAACUGCGUCUGAUACUGGAUGGCUGGAGUGUGGGAGAGGGAUGCGGAAUUCCAGGUGUAGCGGUGAAAUGCGCAGAUAUCAGGAGGAACACCGGUGGCGAAGGCGGGUCUCUGGGCCGAUACUGACGCUGAGGAGCGAAAGCGUGGGGAGCGAACAGG